rnacentral:rRNA from 1 species
AUACGGAGGGUGCAAGCGUUAUUCGGAAUCACACGGCGUAAAGGACGCGUAGGCGGGUUGGCAAGUCAGAUGUGAAAUCCUACAGCUUAACUGUAGAACUGCAUUUGAAACUGCUAACCUAGAGUAUGGGAGGGGGAGAUGGAAUUAGUGGUGUAGGGGUAAAAUCCGUAGAUAUCACUAGGAAUACCGAAAGCGAAGGCGAUCUCCUGGAACAUAACUGACGCUAAGGCGUGAAAGCGUGGGGAGCAAACAGGAUUAGAAACCCGAGUAGUCC